rnacentral:rRNA from 1 species
GUGCAGCAGGCGAGAAACCUCCGCAAUGCACGCAAGUGCGACGGGGGGACCCCAAGUGCCACUCUUAACGGGGUGGCUUUUCAGGAGUGUAAAAAGCUCCUGGAAUAAGGGCUGGGCAAGACCGGUGCCAGCCGCCGCGGUAACACCGGCAGCUCGAGUGGUAGCCGCGUUUAUUGGGCCUAAAGCGUCCGUAGCCGGUCCGAUAAGUCUCUGGUGAAAGCCCACAGCCCAACUGUGGGAAUCGCUGGAGAUACUAUCGGACUUGAGGCCGGGAGAGGCUGGAGGUACUCCCAGGGUAGGGGUGAAAUCCUAUAAUCCUGGGAGGACCACCUGUGGCGAAGGCGUCCAGCUGGAACGGACCUGACGGUGAGGGACGAAAGCCAGGGGCGCGAACCGGAUUAGAUACCCCCGUAGUCC